rnacentral:rRNA from 1 species
UACAGAGGGUGCAAGCGUUAAUCGGAAUUACUGGGCGUAAAGCGCGUGUAGGCGGUUCGUAAAGUCGGAUGUGAAAUCCCCAGGCUUAACCUGGGAACUGCAUCCGAUACUGGAUGGCUUGAAUCCGGGAGAGGGAUGCGGAAUUCCAGGUGUAGCGGUGAAAUGCGUAGAUAUCUGGAGACACCGGUGGCGAAGGCGGCAUCCUGGACC